rnacentral:rRNA from 1 species
AAUGGGCGCAAGCCUGAUGCAGCCAUGCCGCGUGUGUGAUGAAGGCCUUAGGGUUGUAAAACACUUUCAUCGGUGAAGAUAAUGACGGUAGCCGAAGAAGUAGCCCCGGCUAACUCCGUGCCAGCAGCCGCGGUAAUACGGAGGGGGCAAGCGUUGUUCGGAAUUACUGGGCGUAAAGCGCACGUAGGCGGACUGAUCAGUUGGGGGUGAAAUCCCGAGGCUUAACCUCGGAACUGCCUUCAAUACUGUCAGUCUUGAGAUCGGAAGAGGUGAGUGGAAUUCCUAGUGUAGAGGUGAAAUUCGUAGAUAUUAGGAAGAACACCAGUGGCGAAGGCGGCUCACUGGUCCGAUACUGACGCUGAGGUGCGAAAGCGUGGGGAGCGAACAGGAUU